GAUAAACGCUGGCGGCGCACAUAAGACAUGCAAGUCGAACGAACUUAACCAUUAGUUUACUAUUGGAGCGGUUAGUGGCGGACUGGUGAGUAACACGUAAGCAACCUGCCUAUCAGAGGGGAACAACAGUUAGAAAUGACUGCUAAUACCGCAUAAGCGCACAGCAUCGCAUGAUGCAGUGUGAAAAACUCCGGUGGUGUGAGAUGGACCCGCGUUGGAUUAGCUAGUUGGCAGGGCAGCGGCCUACCAAGGCGACGAUCCAUAGCCGGCCUGAGAGGGUGAACGGCCACAUUGGGACUGAGACACGGCCCAG
rnacentral:rRNA from 1 species